UGCCUUCUUUGUUAAUGAGAGACACAAAGGAUGAGGGAGAAUAGGAUAGGCUCUGCUAGAAAAUGCCAGGAGGAAGAUGGAGGAGGGACAAACUUUCAUCUGGACAAACUUUCAUCUGGCCUGGACCUGGGAGGAUAAAGAAAGCUGAAAGGCUGAAUUGGUUUGAUCCAGAGAGGCAGUUAUGCAUAAGAGCAACCACUCUCUAUUGAAUUAGGAGAUCUCUCAUGCAACACAUCUCACCAAUUACAAGGUUUCCUGUGGAAGCCAGAGGAGGGCCUCAGAUCCCCUGUAACUUGAGUCCCAGAUGCAAAUCCUUGAAGAAGAGAGAACUCAUGCUGAGCCACUUGUUUCGCAUCCCAAAAAGGACUCAGGAGGACUGUUCAUCUAUUUAGUGACAGAAUUUUCCAUGCUCAAUAAAUUCUGCUGCUUG
rnacentral:lncRNA from 1 species